rnacentral:rRNA from 1 species
GAUGAACGCUAGCGGCAGGCCUAAUACAUGCAAGUCGAACGGUAAUGGCGCCAGCAAUGGCGCCACAAGAGUGACGCACGGGUGCGUAACACGUAUGCAACCUACCCUUUACAGGAGUAUAGCUCGGGGAAACUCGAAUUAACCCUUCAUAGUAUAAAUGAAUGGCAUCAUUUGUUUAUUAAAUCUGAGGAGGUAAAGGAUGGGCAUGCGUCUGAUUAGCUAGUUGGUAGUGUAAUGGACUACCAAGGCGAUGAUCAGUAGGGGAACUGAGAGGUUGAUCCCCCANACUGGCACUGAGAUACGGGCCAGACUCCUACGGGAGGCAGCAGUAGGGAAUAUUGGUCAAUGGGUGAGAGCCUGAACCAGCCAUGCCG